GGGGUUGUAGUUCAGUGGUACAGCGUUUGCCUCACAUGCAUGCAUAAGGCACUGGGUUUGACCCUCAGCACCCCCA
rnacentral:tRNA from 1 species